CCUACGGGUGGCAGCAGUGGGGAAUAUUGGGCAAUGGAGGCAACUCUGACCCAGCAACGCCGCGUGAAUGAUGAAGGUCUUCGGAUUGUAAAGUUCUGUGAUGGGGGAUGAACACAAUGACGGUACUCCAAUAGCAAGCCACGGCCAACUACGUGCCAGCAGUCGCGGUAAUACGUAGGCGGCAAGCGUUAUCCGGAAUGACUGGGCGUAAGGGGUGCGUAGGUGGUUUAGUAAGUUGGCGGUGAAAUUCCGGGGCUCAACCUCGGCGCUACCGCCAAAACUAUUAGACUAGAGUGCGGGAGGGGUAAGUGGAAUUCGUAGUGUAGCGGUGGAAUGCGUAGAUAUUAGGAGGAACAUCAGGGGCGAAGGCGACUUACUGGACUGUAACUGACGCUGAGGCACGAAAGCGUGGGGAGCAAACAGGAUUAGAUACCCUGGUAGUC
rnacentral:rRNA from 1 species